GUCCGAAUGGGCCAGAGCUGAAGAGCUCAGCCGCCCAACUGCUAAGCCACGAAAAAACUUCUUCAGAGGAGGGCUGACACACACCAUCUUCUAAGGAAGGGAGCGUCUCUCCUUGGAGGGACCCAGUGUGCACUUUGCCUGUUUGCGGGCUAUGACUGCCCGGGGCAAUUUAAGACAGCAUUCGCAGUCACCUACAGAGAACUUGCUCUGUGCCAAGCACAUAUGUUAAUGCAAUUGGUGACAAAGGCCAGAAAACACGAAGAUUAAAAAAACCCACAGGCUUAGCUCACCUCUUCCUCUGCCUUCUUGCGGAGUCCUUCUUUUGUAAUCAUGAAUUGUGUUUAUUCCCAGCUUCGAAUUAAGUGGUUAAGUUUUCUUUCCGAAUGCAAACGCAGAGUGAUUCAAAGGGCAGUCUGAAUUCUGGGUUAUAAGGGCCAUGUGCACGGCGGUCACAGCUCCCCACAUUGCGUGGCACAGUCACUGUGACAGUCUUAGGAAGUUCCUCUCAUCGUCCCCAUUUAGCAGGUGGCAAAGUGGCAGAGGUGGACUCAAGCCUGGGCUCUGCAGCUCCAGCACGGACACAGCCCACCCGUGGUCCAAACCUCGCCCUGUACACUUGCUGGGAAACUGGGCAGUUACCAGCUCCAUCGAGUGUUGUGCCCAAGGAGACUCUAUCACCAGAAGGGUGUUAAGUCGAGAGUAGCUGUUCACCGAGAUUCCUGUUUGCUCUCAUUACUGCCGAAUUGCAAGAGCGGAAGGUGCAAACUCCCCACCUGGACCGUUGGGCGUGAUGGUAACGCUGCUAUGUAGCUACGGGGGGGGGCACGUCACCAUCUAAAAGCCACUGGCUCAACAUGUGUGCCACGCUGAAAGACAGGCCCCUAGCCCUGCAGGAGGCUGUCCCCAAGCUGGCUUCCUACAGGUGUCCACCCAGAAGGUGGGUUGCUUCUCCCUCCAGGAUGCAGGGCUCUGCCCUAACCAACUUGCCACCAGCAUCGGGUUAGAAGCAGCCUCGGCCGUGGGUGAGAGGGGGUCCACGCUGCAGGUCUCUUGCACACCUCCAUCCCCGCCACCACGACCGCACUGUCCACACGGCCCAUGGCCCUCUGUGCAGGGCGAUGGCGGGGCAGGCAGAGCCUGGCCUGGCUGCCCUCAGCUACAGACACCACCUGAGCACCGGUUGCCAAGCGCCCCUUUACUGAUGCUCCCUGAAAGAUUGAGAGGGGAUCACAGGCCCUUCCCUACUCCCUGGCAACCCCUCAUCCCAUCUCGCCCCUUCCAGACCCCCACUGAGGAGCCCAGCCACCCAGCACUGCCCACACAUCUGUGCACAGAGGCGGUAGGCCAGCUUCUCCGCCCUGUCUGCCCUUCGCCCUGGCAGGAGCUGGGCUGGAGCCAGGCAGCAGGCCAUUGUUGGUUCACAUCGAAUUAUCCAGCAAACCCAUUCGUAAACCACGUCCAGAGGCCCUGGGAGUUAAGACUUGAACCUACCUUUGAGGGGAGAAAGCUCAACCCACAAGCAAGAUCAUGGCUCGGAAACACCCACCAGAGGCCGAGCUUCCUGUCACGCGACAUCAGAGCAAACGCGAAAUCUCAGGGUGUCUCUUGCCUCGGCACCAGACUCGUCCCAACACACCCAUGACGGGUCCACCGUCAUCCUCACUGGUCCCAGCAGCCGUCCGUAACCCCCUCCCAGGUUCCAGACUUCGGGUGGGGUCGGGUGGGGGGACAAGCUUGACAGUCCCUGGUACUUAUCCCUGGAGCCCUGUUCGUGUCAGCUGUGUGAACCGUUGUGUUGGACAGGCGGUAAGUGCUAAUUUUCUGCGUUUACCAGUUUUCAAUGUCAUGACCCAGCUUCCUUCAAAGGAAACCAGUGAUUUUUUUUUUAAGCUAUCAUGAUGAAUUCAUGGAUUUUGAAAAAUAUAUUUCAUGCAUUUCAGUUUAUUUCCCUCUCCCAAGUUUCUCAUUUGUGUCCUUGUUGGGAGCUGUUAGUCUUCGAGGCUCUCACAUUUCUGAAUAUCUGAGCGGAAGUAGUGACAGCUUCUGUUCUACCUUUUCAGGAGUGUUCGGGACCAAACAGCCUUUCAAAGAUGGAGACGUGGUCCCCUCCGAGGCAAAGGACGAAGUUGAUUGCUGACCAGCAGGUUGAAAAUAACAGCAGAGUUGGAGUUCCCAUCAUGGCACAGGGGAAACAAACCUGACCAGAAUGUAUCUCUUAAUGAACAAGAAUUGAGCGUUUGUUGGCCACUGACCAUGGUUGCAAAAACAGUCCAGAGAGCUCCCGUGUGGACUUCACACAGCUUCCUUCGGUGAAAACGUCUCACGGAGCCGGAGGGCAGUCCAGCGAGGGGGCUGACGACGGUAUAAACUGCAGACAGUGUUUGGAUUUUGCCGGGUUUCACAGGUACCUUCGUGCUGCGUCUGUCAACUCCAGCCGGAGUCACCACCACGGGGUCAGGCUCCGGAGCUGCUCCCGUCCCCUGGAGUCUCACCCCGACCCCUGAGCUUUUGUCUCAUCGCCACCUUCUAUGUUGGAUCUGUCCAGGUCUCGAAGGUGUAACUGCUAAUGUUGGUUUUCCCUAAAUCUCAAAUCCUUACAAAAUCUUGUAUGAGAUGCUCAAAGCGCAGGUUGAUUGAAAACUUUUAUCUUUCAUAAAUCGGGCUUGAAUCCGCUCCUAAUGUUCAUCUUCCUCCUGAUUUUACUUCUUUUACCCUUGUUUUCAGUGGGUCUGAUGCUAUCCUUCCAGUCCUAUUUUUAUGACUCUUUACCUGGAAUCUUCAUUUUCAGCCUUUAUUCGUCUCCUGAAGUUAAAUUGUGUAGAGAGCAUAAGCAGGUUUACUUUUUAUGCUUCAUGGAAGGGUCUUUUUUUUUUUUAAAUAAGAAAACAAAUCCAUUCACAUUUAGUGUACUGACAGAUAGACUUUUCUUUGUUCCCGUUAUUUUAAAUAAGUUAUUUUUUAUUUGACAUUGCUGUUUUCUAUUUUCCUUUUCCAUGUGUUUGUUGGUGUGUUCAAAGGUCUCUUCACUCAAUUUUUUGGUCCCAUUUUAUUUUUUUAAUUUUUAUUUUGUUUUAUUUUGCUUUUUAUGGCCAGACUAUGGAAGUGCCCAGGCGAGGGGUCACAUUGGAGCUGCAGCUACCAGCCUAGGCCACAGUCACACCACGGGAUCCUUAACCCACUGAGCAAGGCCAGGGAUCGAACCCACAUCCUCAUGGAUACCAGUCAGGUUCGUCUCCACUGAGCCACAACGGGAACUCCUGUCCUUUGUUUCUUUAAAUUUUAAAAAAUUGCAGCAUGGUUUGCACUUAAUAAAUGGUUGUCUUUC
rnacentral:lncRNA from 1 species